rnacentral:rRNA from 1 species
CCCUUAGAUGUCCUGGGCUGCACGCGCGCUACACUGGAAGUUACGGAUUGAGAUACUACCUUGUCCGAAAUGGUCCGGGUAAUCACCUAAAAGCUUGUCAUAAUUGGAAUGGAUUAUUGUAACUAGUAAUCCUGAACGAGGAAUUCCUAGUAAGUCCCAGUCAACAGCUGGUACUGAUUACGUCCCUGCCCUUUGUAAACACCGCCCGUCGCUACUACUGAUUGGACGUUUAAGCAAGAUUUUUAAACACUGACAGUGUGUAGUUCACGCUAUACUACAGUGAGAAGAAGAAGAUCGAGCUUACUUGUCUAGAGGAAGUAAAAGUCGUAACA